rnacentral:tRNA from 1 species
GGGCUCGUAGCUCAGCUGGAUAGAGCAACGGCCUUCUAAGCCGUGUGUCUAGGGUUCGAAUCCCUACGGGCUCACCA